rnacentral:rRNA from 1 species
UACAGAGGGGGCAAGCGUUGUUCGGAAUUACUGGGCGUAAAGGGCGCGUAGGUGGCCUUCUAAGUCGAACGUGAAAUCCCUGGGCUCAACCCAGGAACUGCGUCCGAGACUGGGAGGCUUGAAUCCGGGAGAGGGAUGCGGAAUUCCAGGUGUAGCGGUGAAAUGCGUAGAUAUCUGGAGGAACACCGGUGGCGAAGGCGGCAUCCUGGACCAACACUGACGCUGAGUGAGCGAAAGCCAGGGGAGCAAACGGG